UGCAAUGGGCCCGAAACCGGGUGACCUACCCAUGAUCAGGCUGAAGUGAAAGUAAAAUUUCAUGGAGGGCCGAACCGACCUCCGUUGAAAAGGCGGCGGAUGAAUUGUGGGUAGCGGAGAAAUUCCAAUCGAACUCGGAGAUAGCUGGUUCUCCCCGAAAUAGCUUUAGGGCUAGCCUCAUAUUAGAUACCCGGAGGUAAAGCACUGAAUGGCCUAGCGCCCGAGAGGGUAGCGAAGCCUAUCAAACUAAGAAUGCCGGAGUAUUGAUGUAUGGGAGUCAGACAGUGUGAGAUAAAUCUCAUUGUCAAAAGGGAAACAGCCCAGAUCUACAGCUAAGGUCCCAAAUUGUAUCUAAGUGGAAAACGAUGUGGAAAUACGCAGACAACCAGGAUGUUGGCUCAGAAGCAGCCACUCAUUUAAAGAGUGCGUAAUAGCUCACUGGUCGAGCGUCUCUGCGCGGAAAAUUUAACGGGGCUAAGAUACAAACCGAAGCUUAGGCUGCACUUUUAGUGCGGGGUAGGGGAGCGUUGUGUAAGCGGAGAAACAGUAGCGUAAGCGGCUGUGGAGUUUACAGAAGUGAGAAUGCCGGAAUGAGUAGCGCGAAUGUGGUGAGAAUCCACAUGGCCGGAAACCUCAGGUUUUUGGAGGAAGGUUCGUCCGCUCCAAGUUAGGCGGGAGCUAAGGUCAGGCCGAAAGGCGUAGCCGAUGCACAGACGGUAGAGAUUCCGUCCCCACCGAAAGAUUUAAGCACAGGGACACUUUUUGAAGGUCGGAGCCAGGUGUUGGUUCUGGUAGUGAUCGAGGGAAAUAUAGUACCGAAGUCCGGCUGGAAGAGAGGCGAGAAAAGCUGUGUGUAUAUCUAAGGUGCCCGUACCGCAAACCGACACAGGUAGGUAGGAAGAAGAUUCUAAGGCCAACGGGAGAAGGGUUGUUAAGGAACUCGGCAAGUUGACCCCGUAACUUCGGAAUAAGGGGUGCUCACGAGAGUGAGCCGCAGAGAAUAGGCCCAGGCAACUGUUUACCAAAAACACAGGUUUGUGCUAAAUCGAAAGAUGACGUAUACGAGCUGACGCCUGCCCGGUGCUGGAAGGUUAAAAGGAGAUGUGCAAGCAUUGAAUUGAAGCCCCAGUGAACGGCGGCCGUAACUAUAACGGUCCUAAGGUAGCGAAAUUCCUUGUCAGGUAAG
rnacentral:rRNA from 1 species